UUAAUAGUUUUUAUCCGGACA
rnacentral:piRNA from 1 species